GAGGAAUAUUGGUCAAUGGGCGCGAGCCUGAACCAGCCAAGUAGCGUGCAGGAUGACGGCCCUAUGGGUUGUAAACUGCUUUUGUAUGGGGAUAAAGUCAAUCACGUGUGAUUGUUUGCAGGUACCAUACGAAUAAGGACCGGCUAAUUCCGUGCCAGCAGCCGCGGUAAUACGGGAGGUCCGGGCGUUAUCCGGAUUUAUUGGGUUUAAAGGGAGCGUAGGCCGGAGAUUAAGUGUGUUGUGAAAUGUAGACGCUCAACGUCUGACUUGCAGCGCAUACUGGUUUUCUUGAGUACGCACAACGUUGGCGGAAUUCGUCGUGUAGCGGUGAAAUGCUUAGAUAUGACGAAGAACUCCGAUUGCGAAGGCAGCUGACGGGAGCGCAACUGACGCUUAAGCUCGAAGGUGCGGGUAUCGAACAGGAUUAGAUACCCUGGUAGUCCGCACAGUAAACGAUGGAUGCCCGCUGUUGGUACCUGGUAUCAGCGGCUAAGCGAAAGCAUUAAGCAUCCCACCUGGGGAGUACGCCGGCAACGGUG
rnacentral:rRNA from 1 species